GACGAACGCUGGCGGCGUGCUUAACACAUGCAAGUCGAACGAAGUGGCGAACGGGUGAGUAAUACGUGAGUAACCUGCCCUCCUUUUUGGGAUAAGCCUUGGAAACGGGGUCUAAUACCGGCUAAAGGGGGAUGGGCUCGCGGCCUAUCAGCUUGUUGGUGGGGUGAUGGCCUACCAAGGCGGUGACGGGUAGCCGGCCUGAGAGGGUGGCCUGCCACAUUGGGACUGAGAUACGGCCCAGAGUCCUACGGGAGGCAGCAGGGGGGGAUAGUGCAAAAUGGGCGAAAGACGGAGGCAGCGACGCCGCGUGAGGGAUGAAGGCUUUCGGGUUAUAAGCCUCAGUCGCGAGGGAACCGGUAUGUGCAGGAGAAACCCCGGCUAACUACGUGCCAGCAGCCGCGGUAAUAC
rnacentral:rRNA from 1 species